UCCCAGGUGGCUCAGAUGGUAAAGAGUCUGCCUGCAAUGCAGAAAACCCGGGUUUGAUCCCUGGGUUAGGAA
rnacentral:tRNA from 1 species